GAGUUUGUCAUUUCAUUCCAUCAUGCUGCUCUGUGCACUUGGAAUAUUUGCAGUUCUUGCAGGAGACUCUCUUGGUGAUGUAAUAACAUCUCACGAUUCUGAAAAAGAAGCUCAAGAUGGUAACAGUGUUUCUCUCUCCUGUAACUACAGUGGUUCUGUUAUCAAUCUACUGUGGUAUCGUCAGUAUCAGAGAUCCAAACCAGAACUCCUUCUCUCCAUCACUGAAUCUGGAGAUGCAGUUAAAGCAGAUCCAUCAGCCCACUGGUUUUCUCCUACAGUUGACAAACUCAAAAAGCUCUUGAAACUGGAAAUCAGCCCUGCUAAAGUAUCAGACUCUGCUGUGUAUUACUGUGCUCUGCGGCCCACAGUGACAGGAAACUCUUUUCCUCAGUACAUGAUCUUUCUGCAUAUAUUGCUUAACAAGCACAUGUAUUCUGUGUGUUGUUUCUGUGACAGAAUCAUCCAUCAGUAACUCAAGAAUCUCAAUGAAUUCAAGUAGGCCAACAAACACACAACACAUAUUUCUAUAGAGAAUUAAACCCAUU